AUGCUGGAAAAAGGAGAACUAAGAUGCCACACCCGAGAAGCUCAGGACAGAGAACAUAGCCGCCAUAUUGGAGUAAGGGGAUCCCAGCCCAAGAUGGUCUGGGUAUAGGGCAGCAAAGAUGGAAAACAGUUAUAAUGAAGAUAUUUGGAAGGCCACCCACCAACACCAGAGGUUUUUCCCAGUCUGGUCAGCCGUCCAGAUGGACUGAGCCACAGAGACCUGGAAGCCUAUGGGGACUCCAUCCAAUAAAGGCAAAUAAAGAGAGCCUGAAAGUAUAGCUUGGCACCUACGCAGCAAGCCACUCCUGUCUACAGUGCUCAUGAACCUUCCAGAAUCAUGGAGAAGACCUGCCGUGCAUGGCCCUUAUUGCAAACUGAAAGUGUUUCGAGGCCCAAGGUGGAAAGAAAAAAAAAAGAAGAAAGCAAACCUGGGAAACACAGAAUUCAUUCAGCCCCUUGUAGUCCCGCACUUUGGUCACAGAGGAAACAUCCCCUGACAGCCUGGUGUUCGAAUCUAAUGUGGUCAAAGCAAACUAUGGAGCCGGACCUAUGCAAAUCUCUACAGAAACUCGAGGUUAGAUGUAUUUUACACUAAGUAACACUCAGGGGCCAUCUUCUUGGGAUUGUACUUUAAUAGAAAAUAUGCCAGAGAGGCUAGGGAAAAUUAAGAAAAAUAUAAAUUUAAGUCAGAGAUCGGAAUGGUAAUUUGUGUGAGGGGGAAGAAAACCACAAGCGCUCCCCCCCUCACACUGCCUUGAAAGCGUGGAUGAUUUCAGAAUCCCACCCUACGAGAAAGCAAGGAGAUGCAGGGUUUGGAGUUAAGAAACGUAAGUGUCUCCAGUCCCCAGCUGCACAUUAAACUAAUGUCAAGUUGAAGGAAAUCGUAUUGCUGCUGAGGCUGGAGAAAGAUGUCGGAGUGCAAUAAUUAAUGGUGCAGGUUUGAAGGAGAAAGGCUGCCAGGCUAAUGGAACCUGAAGAGAGGUAAAACUCCUCCUGUCCAGAGACAAGACACUUUCCCACCCAACAUAGGAGAAAAGCCUUCCCUUAAAGUAGAGAGGAACCCUUCGAAACCUUCCCUGUGAAAGCCAGGCCUCGGUUGACUUGUGUGGGACUUGCAGGUCACCACCCAUGUGAGUGGCAAGCAGGCCUUGCUGACAGGACAAGCCCUGAAACCAGACCUGGCCAUUUCUGGUUCUCUAUCAAAAUGAAACCAAAAAGUUCUUCAACCCCAUGAAAAUAAGCGGGAGAAACCCUGUCUCGAAAAACCAAAACCAAAAAAAAGAGAGAGAAAGAGCGAGAGAAGAAAAUAAGUGGGAAAAAGUCACUCCCUGGACAAGGUUUCAAAGCUCACAGCCUUUUAAUAAAGCCAAUGUCUAUGAAAAGGGUUAACCUGUUGUUUAGAAAUGGAAAAUUUUGUUGCUGAAUAAAAAAGUGACUGUAAUUGAAAAAAAAA
rnacentral:lncRNA from 1 species